AUGACGACCAAUAAAAAACGACAGUAUUACCCCUUGUUUUUUUUUUCAUGACGACCAAUAAAAAACAACAGUGUUACCCCUUAUGUUUUUUUUCAUGACAACCAACAAUAAACGACAGUGUUACCCCUUAUUUCUUUUUUCAUGACGACCAAAGAAAAAGGACAGUGUCACCCCUCAUGUUUCAUUUGGUGAAAACGACAGUGUUACCCCCUAUGUUUUAUUCGAUACAUUUCGACUGUUACCCCUUAUGGGCUUUUCAUGACGACAGAUAAAAAAAGACAGUGUUACCCUUUACGUUUCAUUUGAUAAACACGACAGUGUUACCCCCUAUGAUUUAUUCGAUACAUUUCGACAGUGUUACCCCUUAUGGGUUUUUCAUGACGACAGAUAAAGAACGACAGUGUUACCCUUUACGUAUCUUUUGAUAAAAACGACAGUGUUACCCCUUAUGUUUUUUUCCCAUGAUGACUGAUGAAAAACAACAGUGUUACCCCUUAUAUUUUAUGUGACAAGGACAAUUUUUUCUUUUUUUUCAAAUAUGUUUUUUUUCAUGACGACCAAUAAAAUACGACAGUGUUACCCCUUAUAUUUUAUUUGACAAAGACAACAGUGUUACCCCUUAUGUUUUUUUUCAUGACGACCAAUAAAAAAACCACAGUGUUACCCCUUAUGUUUUUUUUCAUGACGACCAAUGAAAAACAACAGUGUUACCCCGUUUUAUUUGAUAAAUAUCGACAGUGUUACCCCUCAUGUAUCAUUUGAUAAAAACGACAGUGUGGUUUUUUUCAUGACGACCAAAGAAAAACGGCAGUUACCCCUCAUGUUUUUAUCCAUGUUGACCAAUAAAAAAUAACAGUGGUACCCCUGACUACCUUUUUUCAGGGAUCCGAACCUGAGCUGUUUAGAGUAUUAUCCUCCGAACUUAUCAAUGCACCAUCAAGACACAGAAUAAAGUCAUCACAAUGGUUAUACUUGACUUUAUAAUUCGCAUGAAAUAGAAAUAAGAGACUUCCAACAGAGGACAUCAACCGGACUUGAACCCUGGUCUCCAGGGGGUUAGCUCACAGCUCUCUCCACUUUCCAAUGAUAUUUUAAAUAAAAUUUUGUCUGAGAUUA
rnacentral:lncRNA from 1 species